GGAGAGCUGUCCGAGUCUGGCUGAAGGAGCACGAUUGGAAAUCGUGUAGGCCGCUAAUCGCGGUCUCAAGGGUUCAAAUCCCUUGCUCUCCG
rnacentral:tRNA from 1 species